rnacentral:Y_RNA from 1 species
GCAGGUCUGAAGAUAGUGAGUUAUGUCAAUUGAUUGUUCACAGUCAGUUACAGAUCUAACUCCUUGUUCUACUCUCCCCUCUUCUCACUGCUGCACUUGACUAGGCUUAA